AGUGAACGCUGGCGGUAGGCCUAACACAUGCAAGUCGAACGGCAGCACAGGAGAGCUUGCUCUCUGGGUGGCGAGUGGCGGACGGGUGAGGAAUACAUCGGAAUCUACUUUUUCGUGGGGGAUAACGUAGGGAAACUUACGCUAAUACCGCAUACGACCUACGGGUGAAAGCAGGGGACCUUCGGGCCUUGCGCGAUUGAAUGAGCCGAUGUCGGAUUAGCUAGUUGGCGGGGUAAAGGCCCACCAAGGCGACGAUCCGUAGUUGGUCUGAGAGGAUGAUCAGCCACACUGGAACUGAGACACGGUCCAGACUCCUACGGGAGGCAGCAGUGGGGAAUAUUGGACAAUGGGCGCAAGCCUGAUCCAGCCAUACCGCGUGGGUGAAGAAGGCCUUCGGGUUGUAAAGCCCUUUUGUUGGGAAAGAAAUCCAGCUGGCUAAUACCCGGUUGGGAUGACGGUACCCAAAGAAUAAGCACCGGCUAACUUCGUGCCAGCAGCCGCCGUAACAC
rnacentral:rRNA from 1 species